rnacentral:lncRNA from 1 species
GCAAGCCACAACGAGGGCCGCUACCCUGCACCACUCUUUGGCAAGCCAUGACGAGGGCCGCUACCCUGCUCCACUCUCUGCAAUGGAUUUCACGUAGCUCCACCACUCUCUGGCAAGCCACAACGAGGGUCACUACCUCGCUCCACCCUCUGGCAAGUCACGACAACAGACACCACUCUCCGUAAUAAACUCCACGUGGCCCUAAACGGCCCCC